rnacentral:rRNA from 1 species
AGUGAACGCUGGCGGUAGGCCUAACACAUGCAAGUCGAACGGCAGCACAGUAAGAGCUUGCUCUUACGGGCGACGAGUGGCGGACGGGUGAGGAAUACAUCGGACUCUACUUUUUCGUGGGGGAUAACGUAGGGAAACUUACGCUAAUACCGCAUACGACCUACGGGUGAAAGCAGGGGCUCUUCGGACCUUGCGCGAAUGCAUGAGCCGAUGUCGGAUUAGCUAGUUGGCGGGGUAAAGGCCCACCAAGGCGACGAUCCGUAGCUGGUCUGAGAGGAUGAUCAGCGACACUGGGACUGAGACACGGUCCUGACUCCGACGGGAGGCAGCAGUGGGGAAUAUUGGACGAUGGGCGCAAGCCUGAUCCAGCCAUACCGCGUGGAUGAAGAAGGCCUUCGGGUUGUAAAGCCCUUUUGUUGGGAAAGAAAAGCAGCAGGUUAAUACCCCGCUGUUCUGACGGUACCCAAAGAAUAAGCACCGGCUAACUUCGUG